rnacentral:rRNA from 1 species
UGCAAGUCGAACGGUAACAUUUCUAGCUUGCUAGAAGAUGACGAGUGGCGGACGGGUGAGUAAUGCUUGGGAACUUGCCUUUGCGAGGGGGAUAACAGUUGGAAACGACUGCUAAUACCGCAUAAUGUCUUCGGACCAAACGGGGCUUCGGCUCCGGCGCAAAGAGAGGCCCAAGUGAGAUUAGCUAGUUGGUAAGGUAACGGCUUACCAAGGCGACGAUCUCUAGCUGUUCUGAGAGGAAGAUCAGCCACACUGGGACUGAGACACGGCCCAGACUCCUACGGGAGGCAGCAGUGGGGAAUAUUGCACAAUGGGGGAAACCCUGAUGCAGCCAUGCCGCGUGUGUGAAGAAGGCCUUCGGGUUGUAAAGCACUUUCAGUUGUGAGGAAAAGUUAGUAGUUAAUACCUGCUAGCCGUGACGUUAACAACAGAAGAAGCACCGGCUAACUCCGUGCCAGCAGCCGCGGUAAUACGGAGGGUGCGAGCGUUAAUCGGAAUUACUGGGCGUAAAGCGCACGCAGGCGGUUUGUUAAGCUAGAUGUGAAAGCCCCGGGCUCAACC